rnacentral:rRNA from 1 species
GGUAACAGAAAGCAGCUUGCUGCUUUGCUGACGAGUGGCGGACGGGUGAGUAAUGUCUGGGAAACUGCCCGAUGGAGGGGGAUAACUACUGGAAACGGUAGCUAAUACCGCAUAACGUCGCAAGACCAAAGAGGGGGACCUUCGGGCCUCUUGCCAUCGGAUGUGCCCAGAUGGGAUUAGCUAGUAGGUGGGGUAAAGGCUCACCUAGGCGACGAUCCCUAGCUGGUCUGAGAGGAUGACCAGCCACACUGGAACUGAGACACGGUCCAGACUCCUACGGGAGGCAGCAGUGGGGAAUAUUGCACAAUGGGCGCAAGCCUGAUGCAGCCAUGCCGCGUGUAUGAAGAAGGCCUUCGGGUUGUAAAGUACUUUCAGCGGGGAGGAAGGGAGUAAAGUUAAUACCUUUGCUCAUUGACGUUACCCGCAGAAGAAGCACCGGCUAACUCCGUGCCAGCAGCCGCGGUAAUACGGAGGGUGCAAGCGUUAAUCGGAAUUACUGGGCGUAAAGCGCACGCAGGCGGUUUGUUAAGUCAGAUGUGAAAUCCCCGGGCUCAACCUGGGAACUGCAUCUGAUACUGGCAAGCUUGAGUCUCGUAGAGGGGGGUAGAAUUCCAGGUGUAGCGGUGAAAUGCGUAGAGAUCUGGAGGAAUACCGGUGGCGAAGGCGGCCCCCUGGACGAAGACUGACGCUCAGGUGCGAAAGCGUG